rnacentral:rRNA from 1 species
CCUACGGGAGGCAGCAGUGGGGAAUAUUGGACAAUGGGCGAAAGCCUGAUCCAGCAAUGCCGCGUGAGUGAUGAAGGCCUUCGGGUCGUAAAGCUCUUUUACCAGGGAUGAUAAUGACAGUACCUGGAGAAUAAGCUCCGGCUAACUCCGUGCCAGCAGUCGCGGUAAUACGGAGGGAGCUAGCGUUGUUCGGAAUUACUGGGCGUAAAGAGUACGUAGGCGGUUAUUCAAGUCAGAGGUGAAAGCCCGGGGCUCAACCCCGGAACUGCCUUUGAAACUAGAUAACUAGAGUCUUGGAGAGGUUAGUGGAAUUCCGAGUGUAGAGGUGAAAUUCGUAGAUAUUCGGAAGAACACCAGUGGCGAAGGCGACUAACUGGACAAGUACUGACGCUGAGGUACGAAAGCGUGGGGAGCAAACAGGAUUAGAUACCCUGGUAGUCCACGCCGUAAACGAUGAUAACUAGUUGUUCGGUCACUUGGUGACUGAGUGACGCGGCGUACGACAUUAAGUUAUCCGUCCGUCGGGUAGGUACGGUCGCGAGAUAAACUACAAAGAAGUAGUACGGCGUGAGACGUGCCGAACGGACGACGACGAGGGAGGUAGG